UACGUAGGGAGCAAGCGUUGUCCGGAAUCAUUGGGCGUAAAGCGCGCGUAGGUGGCCUCAUAAGUCCGCUGUGAAAGUCAAAGGCUCAACCUUUGAAAGCCGGUGGAUACUGUGGGGCUAGAGUACGGAAGAGGCGAGUGGAAUUCCUGGUGUAGCGGUGGAAUGCGCAGAUAUCAGGAGGAACACCAAUAGCGAAGGCAGCUCGCUGGGACGUUACUGACGCUGAGACGCGAAAGCGUGGGGAGCGAACAGG
rnacentral:rRNA from 1 species